rnacentral:rRNA from 1 species
CUGGCGGCGUGCCUAACACAUGCAAGUCGAACGGAGUACGAGAGCUUGCUUUGUAACUUAGUGGCGGACGGGUGAGUAAUGUAUGAGCAACCUGCCUUUCAGAGGGGGACGAACAGUUGGAAACGACUGCUAAUACCGCAUAAUGUAUUUGGGUGGCAUCACCUGGAUACCAAAGGAGCAAUCCGCUGAAAGAUGGGCUCAUAUCUGAUUAGCUAGUUGGUGGGGUAACGGCCUACCAAGGCUGCGAUCAGUAGCCGGACUGAGAGGUUGAACGGCCACAUUGGGACUGAGAUACGGCCCAGACUCCUACGGGAGGCAGCAGUGGGGAAUAUUGGGCAAUGGGCGAAAGCCUCGACCCAGCAACGCCGCGUGAAGGAAGAAGGUCUUCGGAUUGUAAACUUCUUUUAUGAGGGACGAAGGACGUGACGGUACCUCAUGAAUAAGCCACGGCUAACUACGUGCCAGCAGCUGC